rnacentral:lncRNA from 1 species
UUCAGAUACCCUGCGGCGUAUUGUUAUCCCCGACGGAGUUUCGGCCUUCCCCAGCGGAGUUCGUAUUUCCUCAGCAAGGUGGAUCUUCAGCAGAGAUGGUUGAUCUUCUCCAGUAGAUCGCAUUGGUUUCCUCGCCAAUAGCCAUUCAACUUGCUCCCAUUUAGAGUUUUCUCCUGGUUUCUGAGCAGCUUUUGAUUAUUCUCUGUAGGGUUGUCUCCCAUUUUUAUGGUGUUGACCUAAAAUUCCCCACAGAUUGAUGUUCUUUCC